rnacentral:rRNA from 1 species
CAAGUCGAACGAGAAUGUAGGCUUCGGUCUACUAGUAAAGUGGCGGACGGGUGCGUAACACGUAGGUAAUCUACCUUCCGGCGGGGGACAACAGUCCGAAAGGAUUGCUAAUACCGCAUACGUCGGCGAGGUCUUCGGAUCUUGUCGGGAAAGAUGGCCUCUCCUUGGAAGCUGUCACCGGAAGAUGAACCUGCGGCCCAUCAGCUAGUUGGUGAGGUAACGGCUCACCAAGGCUAAGACGGGUAGCUGGUCUGAGAGGAUGAUCAGCCACACUGGGACUGCGACACGGCCCAGACUCCUACGGGAGGCAGCAGUGGGGAAUAUUGGGCAAUGGGCGAAAGCCUGACCCAGCCACGCCGCGUGAGUGAUGAAGGCCUUCGGGUCGUAAAGCUCUGUGGGGAGGGACGAAUAAGCACGGUGCUAAUAUCACCGGGCCCUGACGGUACCUCCUUAGCAAGCACCGGCUAACCAUGUGCCAGCAGCCGCGGUAAUACAUGGGGUGCAAACGUUGCUCGGAAUUAUUGGGCGUAAAGCGCACGUAGGCGGUCCGUUAUGUCGGACGUGAAAGCCCUCGGCUCAACCGAGGAAGUGCAUCCGAAACUGGCGGGCUAGAGUACGAAAGAGGGUCGCGGAAUUCCCGGUGUAGAGGUGAAAUUCGUAGAUAUCGGGAGGAACACCGGUGGCGAAGGCGGCGAUCUGGGUCGAUACUGACGCUGAGGUGCGAAAAGCGUGGGGAGCAAACAGGAUUAGAUACCCCUGGUAGUCCACGCCGUAAACGAUGAGUGCUAGAUGUUUUCGGGUAUUGACCCCCGAGGUGU